rnacentral:rRNA from 1 species
AGAGUUUGAUCAUGGCUCAGAACGAACGCUGGCGGCGCGCCUAAUACAUGCAAGUCGAGCGAGAAGACGUAGCAAUACGUUUGUAAAGCGGCGAACGGGUGAGGAAUACAUGGGUAACCUACCCUCGAGUGGGGAAUAACUAGCCGAAAGGUUAGCUAAUACCGCGUACGCUCCUUGGACUUCGGUUCAGGGAGGAAAGCGAUACCGUGGGUAUCGCGCUCUUGGAUGGGCUCAUGUCCUAUCAGCUUGUUGGUGAGGUAACGGCUCACCAAGGCUUCGACGGGUAGCUGGUCUGAGAGGACGAUCAGCCACACUGGCACUGCGACACGGGCCAGACUCCUACGGGAGGCAGCAGUAAGGAAUAUUGCGCAAUGGGCGAAAGCCUGACGCAGCGACGCCGCGUGGGGGAUGAAGGUCUUCGGAUUGUAAACCCCUUUCGGGAGGGAAGAUGGAGCGAGCAAUCGUUCGGACGGUACCUCCAGAAGCAGCCACGGCUAACUUCGUGCCAGCAGCCGCGGUAAUACGAAGGUGGCAAGCGUUGUUCGGAUUUACUGGGCGUACAGGGAGCGUAGGCGGUUCGGUAAGCCCUCUGUGAAAUCUCCAGGCUUAACCUGGAACAGUCGGAGGGGACUGCCGUGCUAGAGGACGGGAGAGGAGCGCGGAAUUCCCGGUGUAGCGGUGAAAUGCGUAGAGAUCGGGAGGAAGGCCGGUGGCGAAGGCGGCGCUCUGGAACGUUUCUGACGCUGAGGCUCGAAAGCGUGGGGAGCAAACAGGAUUAGAUACCCUGGUAGUCCACGCCUUAAACUAUGAAUACUAAGUGUCGGCGGGUCACCGCCGGUGCCGCAGCUAACGCAUUAAGUAUUCCGCCUGGGAAGUACGGGCCGCAAGGUUGAAACUCAAAGGAAUUGACGGGGCCCGCACAAGCGGUGGAGCAUGUGGUUUAAUUCGACGCAACGCGA